UCUUCGGGGAUGACUAAACCGGCGCACGGGUGAGUAACACGUGAGUGACCUGCCUUUUAGACUGGAACAACUUACCGAAAGGUGAGCUAAUGCCGGAUGAGUUAUAUAAGUGCAUGUUUAUAUAGGAAAAGUUGGGGAGACCUGACGCUGAAAGAUGGACUCGCGUCCCAUUAGCUAGUUGGUAGGGUAAUGGCCUACCAAGGCGACGAUGGGUAGCCGGCCUGAGAGGGUGGCCGGCCACACUGGGACUGAGACACGGCCCAGACUCCUACGGGAGGCAGCAGUGGGGAAUUUUGCGCAAUGCUCGUAAGAGUGACGCAGCGACGCCGCGUGAAUGACGAAGGCCUUCGGGUCGUAAAGUUCUUUCGACAGGGAAGAAAAUGCCUAUAAGUAACUGUGUAUGUAUUGACGGUACCUGUAUAAGCAGCCCCGGCUAACUCCGUGCCAGCAGCCGCGGUAAUACGGAGGGGGCGAGCGUUGUUCGGAGUGACUGGGCGUAAAGAGCACGUAGGCGGUGUUGUAAGUCAUUAGUCAAAGACUAGAGCUCAACUUUAGUAAGGCUAGUGAUACUAUAAUACUAGAGUAUCAGAGAGGAUUGCAGAAUUCCUGGUGUAGCGGUGAGAUGCGUAGAUAUCAGGAGGAAUACCGUUAGCGAAGGCGGCAAUCUGGCUGGAAACUGACGCUGAGGUGCGAAAGCGUGGGUAGCAAACAGGAUUAGAUACCCUGGUAGUCCACGCUGUAAACGAUGGAUGCUAGGUGUUGGGCUUUUAAGUUCAGUGCCGCAGCAAACGCGAUAAGCAUCCCGCC
rnacentral:rRNA from 1 species